ensembl:snRNA U1 U1 spliceosomal RNA
AAAUUGAAAUUGAAUUGUUCACCCAUAGCGAGGCUCAGCCAUUGCACUGAGGCUGUUGCUGACCCGUGCGAAUUCCCCAAAUGUGGGAAUCUCGAUUGCAUAAUUUCUGGUAGUGGGGGACUGCGUUCGCGCUCUCCCCUG